rnacentral:rRNA from 1 species
AGUGAACGCUGGCGGUAGGCCUAACACAUGCAAGUCGAACGGCAGCACAGUAAGAUCUUGCCCCUAAGGGUGGCGAGUGGCGGAUGGGUGUGGAAUACAUCGCAAUCUUCUUUUUCGUGGGGGAUAACGUAGGGAAACUUACGCUAAUACCUCAUACGUCCUACGGCUUAAAGCAGUAGUUCUUCAGACCUUUCGCGAUUCAUUGAGCCGGCGCCGCAUUAGCUAGUUGGCGGGGUAAAGGCCCACCAAGGCGACGAUGCGUAGCCGGUCUGAGAGGAUGAUCAGCCACACUGGAACUGAGACACGGUCCAGACUCCUACGGGAGGCAGCAGUGGGGAAUCUUCGACAAUGGGCGCAAGCCUGACCCAGCCACACCGCGUGAGUGAAGAAGGCCUUCGGGUUGUAAAGCUCUUUUAUUGGGGAAGAACAGCAGCAGAAUAAACCCCCGAUGUUCUGACGGUACCCAAAGAGAAAGCCCCGGCUAACUUCGUG